AAGAGGCGCAGGCAGAGUUGACGUGGGAGCGGUAGCAGUCAACUCACCGCAGUGGAGACACCACGAUUUCUACACUCAAAGAUAAGAACUCUUGUCAAUGGCUUUAAGGUUGCUACACAUGGAAUUCCAUCUGCACAAUCUCUUUGUCUUCUUUCAGGUUUACGGACACUUUGUCUCAUGGCUUCUUAAAUGGAAAGUGUUGUUUCUGCUACUAUGAGGAAAUUAUUAUAAUCCAGCAUAUUUUUAGACACUGAGUAGAAAAUGUCUCUCCACUUUUGUCUCCUUUAUUGCAGAGUUUAUAUCAUCUUCCAUUCUGUAGUUUAUUAUUUGAUCUUUCACCUCUAGUUUAAAACCAUUGGUUCUAUAGUUUAAAACCAUUGGUUUCUUAGUUUUAUACAUGUCAUUGUGGAGAGGUAGCAGUUGAAUUUGUUGUUUAUCUGGUGCGAGUGACUCAUGCAGUACUGUUGAUCCAGGGACUUGGACAUCCUUGAGUAAAUCUUCUGGCUCCCCUGGUAAGAUUACUGUGUUUGGAGAGGUAGUGAUGUUAUGUAAGAGUACAUUCUGCCUUCAUUUCACUAUAGGUUUAGAACCUCCAGUGUGGUGGUAUGCAAAGAUUGUAUGCAGGUUUGGCGUCCUGCCCAGAUUUACUUGGGAUGGGGAGAUGAUGUGCACUGCUCGACAUGCUAGUCUUGUAUGAGAUAUAAACCAAGGCCUUUGUUUCCUCUCUCUCCUCAUCUUCACUGGCUGUCAAUGUGGAAGUUAAAAAAAAUAUAAUGGCUCUUUGAGAUAGUCCUAGUCUUGUGACUAUCAGUCCAUUCACUAAUAAAAAGAAGAUGUCAGGGUCUAAGGCAUUCAGCAAGAGUUCACACAAGGCAUCCUGGCUUUUUUAUUUAUUUACUGUAAAUGCAGUUACUGUCCUUGAAAAGUAUUUGAAGAUAUGACAUCUAGAGUAAACAAAGUGCUUUAAAAAGCCAAAAUUGAAUUUUAUUCUAUUCCACUUCUUGAAACCAUACCAUUUCAAAUCCUGUAUGAUUUAGGAAGAAAUGGGGUACUUCACCUGCUGAAGGGGCUGUCACAUUUAAGUGAUUAAUGUUUGUACAGCACUUGAAUGCAUUGAUGUGUAAAUGUGGUCACACUCUUACUUUCAGAUGGUACUAUCUUUUGACUUUACCAGUUCUAAUGGUGUUUCCAAUUAUAUGUCUAUGAGGAAAUAUCUCUCAUCCCCAUAAAAUGUUCAAAUCACUAUUUAUUUACAGUUAUGCUAUUAAAAUUUAGCUCUUUUCCUCCUUAUCAUGUUACAAAGGAGAUCAGUAUCACUUUGCCUCUGUGCCUCAGUUUAUCUUUCUGUUAAGUGUCUUGUCCCAGCCCACACAUCAGGCCAAUGGCUGAGUCAAAAAUAGAACUGACGUUUGAGUCCCAGUCCAGUGCUCGAUCCACUAGGUCACACUGCUCUUUUCUCAUUUUAUUGUUUAAAGCCUACAAAGCACUGCACCUGUAAAAUAAAUUUCAUAGAAUCUUUAAAUAUCACCCCAUUUUCCAAUGAUCUGCUUCUCCAAAUCAAUUGAACAAUACCCAGCAUGUUCUAAAAUGUCUGAUUUUAAUAAGAUACAAAACAGUUUUAUAAGGAAUAAGUGCAGAUUUACUUCCUGUUCACAAACAAAUUGUUCUAUCACCGGUAUGCUCUAGCAAUUUUUGACAUUUGCCACCUAGAUUAGCUGAAUUUACCAGGGCAUUUGCAGUCUCUUGCAUUCACAGUAUGGCACAUUCCUGCAAGGACUAUGGUAUGGUAAACAUCUAGUUUUGAGUGGCACCCACUCUAUAAUGCACUGAAAAGUACAGGGCUCUUUACUGAAAUCAUUUCAAAGCGAUGGCAAGUGCCAUAAAGUUAAACAAAAAGUUAUUUUUAAGGCUUGUUAUAAUUCUUCAUUUUCCCUUAAUAUUCAGCACUUUGUUCCCCUAAGAAGCUGCAUAUAUACUAACAAUGCUAGCCUCUUUGAAUCUGGUUACAUUUAGAAUAAUAGCUGGAAAUAUAUGAAAUUGUUUAAUGCUCCUCUAUUCUAAUGUCUUUUAAUGUUAAUAGUUAGGGCCUCUGAAAUAUCAGAAGUUAUCUAAACACAAAGAUGAAUUUCUGAGAGUCAAGCUAGGCUCCAGCAUUCACCAGGUGAGUAGUAAAAGAUACUUAUUUCUCAAGGCCACUUUCAUAUUAGCUAGUUAGAACUAGCUAAGAACCAUGGCCCUUAUUUUGGUAUGUAAUCUCUCCAAAUAAAUGCCUCCUCUUCCUCCAGUCUCCUUAUUUGGAGAAGCUACAAAGAAAAUGACAAAUGUUGUAGGACUUUCUUGUCUUCUGGCCUGUUAAUUAUGUUAAAUAUUUGGCAUGGCUGGGACUGAUCUGCUAUUUACUGAAGUCAGUGGCAAAACUCCCAUUGAAGCCCAUGGCAGCAGCCUCAUUGUGUGUAAUAGAUAAUCAUUCAUCCAUGGUUGGAGGCAACUGUGCUUCCCAAUUUCAUUUCAAAAGCUAAUGAAGUUGGCUUCAAGUCCACUUAAUAUACCUACCAAUGCUAGAUUUGGAUCAAAAUGUCAGCUCUGUUUCCCAGGUCUGCUUAGGAGUAUUAUAGCAGGCAAAAUGAGACUGUGUUUAGAUAAUAACCAUAAUAUAACUGAGACAAGACACAAGCUUCUCAAAAAAUAUUUAUGGAUAGAUAAAAAUGCUAAUACUCUAGUAACCACAGAGUAGUGACUGACAUCAAUAGUUAGAAAUAGCAAAACUGAUAUAGGUCACUUUACACUGAUUUUUUUUCAAAGAAAGCUAAUUUAAAUGCAAUUAUAUCUCCAAAAGAUGUGAAAAUGUUUGGGAUGCUAAUCCUGAUUACGUUGAAGUCAAUGGAAAUCUUGUUGUUGGCAACAUGGUUGAGCAACUGAUGUUAAACAGUUUUCCUGUUGAAACUUUCAUGGAUUCUAUUACUACUAACCAUGCCCUGUGUGACACACAGCCAGAAAGGGUUAAGCAACUUGCAGGCUAAUUGACCCAGAUUCAACCUUUAGGGACAUAUUGGUAGAUAAAGGUUCUAGUUUUUUGUGUUUACAUAUAUAUUGUUAGAGGGUGAUAACCAAACAGUUCCUGUCUAUCACUGUAUUCUGUUAAUUCAGAGAUCAAAGGAGAUGUUAACAUUUAAAUGAACUGUGAAUGGAGUAAUAUCAUUGUUCUUAUUUCUCUUUGAAGUAUAUAGUAAACUACCUGUAAAUGGUAGGAGAUAGGCAAUUGCCUUAUGUUAAUCCAUAUAGCUAAUUACCAGUGAUACUUUUAGGAAAUAGGAGGUUACUUCAAAGAAAACUAUUCUUCACCUUCUGUCAAGAGGCUGACAAUAGCCUGCCAGGGAUCUACAGAAACUCUUGGGCCCUGAUCCUUUCAUCUCAGAUCUGCAUAAGCUUCAUUAGGGGAAGUUUGAGUUGCAAGACUGAGAUGCCCAAUCCCACCUGGAUCAUCCUGAUAUUGGACAUUGGAUUGCAACCUAUGGACUAAUUCUGAAAGGACUCUUUGCAACUCUAAAGUUCACCAUUUCUACUAUGAAACUGUCCUAAAUACUCGAUUCAUGUCUGUAUGUAUAAUGAUCUUUUAACCAAUACUCUCUCUUUUCUUUUUUUAAUACAUUUUAGUUUAGUUUAUAAAAAUUGGCAGUAAGCAUGUAUUUAGGUAAGAUCUGAAAUAUUCAUUAACCAGGUGGAUAAUGUUUCCAAUCCUUUGGGAUUGGUAGAACUUUUUAUAUGAUGAACAAGAUUUUCAGUAUUAAUCAUAUUUGACUUGGUGUCUGGGUCGGAGCCCAAGGCUGGGUUGUUUUAAGGGAACUAUGUUUUGGCUUCUGGGUAACCAGUAAGGUAUUGUAGAAGUUGUGUUGUUGCUGGCUUGGUGAAUCACCAAGAUUAUUAGAAUCGCCACCAGUUUUGGGGGUCGUCUGCCCCAUUCUUUGCAGUUUGCCCUAACUGAGCAAUCUCAGUGUAGCCUCCCUGGUACUGUGGUCACACCCCAUCUUAUAUUUUUGUGGGCAUCUCUCAUUAUUCACAAAAAGAAAAGGAGUACUUGUGGCACCUUAGAGACUAACAAAUUUAUUUGAGCAUAAGCUUCCGUGAGCUACGGCUCACUUCAUCGGAUGCAUUCAGUGGAAAAUGCAGUGGGGAGAUUUAUAUACACAGAGAACAUGAAACAAUGGGUGUUACCACACACACUGUAAAGAGAGUGAUCACUUAAGGUGAGCUAUUACCAGUAGGAGAAUGGGGGAGAGGGCUUUUUGUAGUGAUAAUCAAGGUGGGCCAUUUCCAGCAGUUGACAAGAAAGUCAG